rnacentral:rRNA from 1 species
GACGAACGCUGGCGGCGUGCCUAAUACAUGCAAGUCGAGCGGAUGGAUGGGAGCUUGCUCCCUGACGUCAGCGGCGGACGGGUGAGUAACACGUGGGCAACCUGCCCCUAAGAUCGGGAUAACUUCGGGAAACCGGAGCUAAUACCGGAUAUGAUUAUGUCUCACAUGAGACAUAAUGGAAAGACGGUUUCUGCUGUCAAUUAGGGAUGGGCCCGCGGCGCAGUAGCUAGUUGGGGAGGUAACGGCUCACCAAGGCGACGAUGCGUACCCGACCUGAGAGGGUGAUCGGCCACACUGGGACUGAGACACGGCCCAGACUCCUACGGGAGGCAGCAGUAGGGAAUCUUCCGCAAUGGACGAAAGUCUGACGGAGCAACGCCGCGUGAGUGAAGAAGGUUUUCGGAUCGUAAAACUCUGUUGUUAGGGAAGAACAAGUACCAUAGUAACUGAUGGUACCUUGACGGUACCUAACCAGAAAGCCACGGCUAACUACGUGCCAGCCGCCGCCGUAA